GAAACUGCCUGUUGCAGGCAGUACUGACAAGAUGGCCCGGUUAGUGCCGCUGCUGCUGGGCGCGGCCCUGCUGAGCCCAGGGCUCGCGGAAAUCUUCCCUCGUCGUGUCUGUGGGGAAAUCGAAGGCGACAUUUACCAAUUCUCAGCCAAUUUGCUGGAGAAUGGAACUGAAGUCAGCUUGGAAGAGUACAGGGGCAAGGUGGUGUUGGUGGUCAAUGUGGCCACCUAUUGAGGACUCACCGUGGCCUCUUACACCCAAAUGAAUGCACUUGCGGAGUUCUACGUCGAUGAGGACUUCGUAAUCCUUGGCUUUCCUUGCAAUCAGUUUGGACUGCAAGAGCCGGGAAACAACAGCGAGAUAUUGAACGAUGUCCGCUAUGUCCGUCCAGGCGGUGGAUUUGAGCCUCUGAUGACCUUCUUUGAGAAGAUUGAUGUGAACGGCAAUAAUGAGCACCCACUCUUUACAUUCCUGAAGAGUGCCUGUGAGACUACGUUCACGGAGUUCGACUCAGAUCUCUUUUAUGAGCCCCUAAGAAUUGGGGAUCUUCAGUGGAACUUCGAGAAGUUCCUGAUCAGUAGAGAUGGCAAGCCGUACUCACGCUACCAUCCAAUUGUUGUAGAUCCUGAUGCGCUCAAGGAUGACAUCAACACUCUUCUCAACGCUUAGGACUUUCUCGAGGACUUCAUUCUACUCGAGUGGACACCCACCUCCUAUCCUUGGACUUCCAGCUGAAGUUCCGUAACAUGUCCAUGCCCAUUCUCAUACAGCAUCCCGCCCAUGACGACGCUGUCAAAAACCUUCAGGAGGGCAGCGUCUGAAGUAAUAUAGGGAAGUGUGGCCACUUGUGCAUUCUGGCUGCCACUCUCCUGUCUGUGGGCUGCUGCAGAGGCUGGACUGGGCUGGACGGAGCCGCUGGAAGCCACAUCUGCACCGUGAAUAUGAAUGUUAAUUUCCAAUAAAACAUUCCACUAA